rnacentral:rRNA from 1 species
CCUACGGGAGGCAGCAGUGGGGAAUAUUGCACAAUGGGGGAAACCCUGAAGCAGCAACGCCGCGUGGAGGAUGAAGGUUUUCGGAUUGUAAACUCCUUUUGUUAGAGAAGAUAAUGACGGUAUCUAACGAAUAAGCACCGGCUAACUCCGUGCCAGCAGCCGUGGUAAUACGGAGGGUGCAAGCGUUACUCGGAAUCACUGGGCGUAAAGAGCGCGUAGGCGGGAUAGCAAGUCAGAUGUGAAAUCCUAUGGCUUAACCAUAGAACUGCAUUUGAAACUGUUAUUCUAGAGUAUGGGAGAGGUAGGUGGAAUUCUUGGUGUAGGGGUAAAAUCCGUAGAGAUCAAGAGGAAUACUCAUUGCGAAGGCGACCUACUAGAACAUAACUGACGCUGAUGCGCGAAAGCGUGGGGAGCAAACAGGAUUAGAUACCCCAGUAGUC